GUCUUGUGUUUAGUAUUCACAAACCAAACUAGUAUCAAGAUACUAAGCAAUAUCUCUAGUUAUCAUGGCAGCAGCUAAAGUUUCAUUUUUCCUUGGUUGCAUCAUUGCUUCAAUUCUUCUCCAAUCAGUGAGUUUGAACGCUCAACGCAAAGUCUGUACAGGGUAUGAGGGGUUUGUUCCAUGGAACGGUGCUUGCGGCGGGACUGGUACGUAUACGGAGUAUCAAGAUUAUCCCGACCAAGACUGUUCAUGGUGGUGUUUGCGUACUGUAUUUACAACUGACAAUCGUAUCAAGUGUGCCCAAAUAACCUAUGAGGAAGAAACAGGGAAGCACGUCUGCACUUGUUAUACUGAAUGUGACCCUUAAUCUGUGAAGUGUGGAGCUAUCAAUCUCGAGUCUACCAUGGAAGCUGCUCGCCUGUUUAUUGUAUUAUUGUUUUAAUAAUUCUUAGCUACUAUCUUCUUGUUACUGCUUAUUAAUCUUUGUUCGCCGUUUUGUGUUGCUGUUGUAAUAAUGAAUGCGCUGCUCAUAAAUAAAUAAUCGAUCGUCAUUUACAACA